AGUGAACGCUGGCGGUAGGCCUAACACAUGCAAGUCGAACGGCAGCACAGUAAGAGCUUGCUCUUACGGGUGGCGAGUGGCGGACGGGUGAGGUAUACAUCGGAAUCUACUUUUUCGUGGGGGAUAACGUAGGGAAACUUACGCUAAUACCGCAUACGACCUACGGGUGAAAGCAGGGGAUCUUCGGACCUUGCGCGAUUGAAUGAGCCGAUGUCGGAUUAGCUAGUUGGCGGGGUAAAGGCCCACCAAGGCGACGAUCCGUAGCUGGUCUGAGAGGAUGAUCAGCCACACUGGAACUGAGACACGGUCCAGACUCCUACGGGAGGCAGCAGUAGGGAAUAUUAGACAAUGGGCGCAAGCCUGAUCCAGCCAUACCGCGUGGGUGAAGAAGACCUUCGGGUUGUAAAGCCCUUUUGUUGGGAAAGAAAAGCAGCAGGUUAAUACCCCGCUGUUCUGACGGUACCCAAAGAAUAAGCACCGGCUAACUUCGUG
rnacentral:rRNA from 1 species